GGAUAUGCACAGCCUAGUAGCAAAAACAUUGAGGAUAUGCUUAAUGACAUGAACAGGUUGGAGUACAUGCAGGGCUACCUCACUUCUUUGGUCUCGGCAAUUAGGAAUGGAGCAGAUGUGAGAGGCUACUUCCAUUGGUCUCUGAUAGACAAUUUUAAGUGGACAUAUGGUUAUACAAUAAGUUUCGGGUUGUAUCAUGUAGACCGCAGAACAAUGCAGAGAACACCAAAAAUAUCAGCCAAGUGGUUCCAACAUUUCCUGAAAAAUGAAUCUAGUUUCUUUCAUGCCCAAGAAUAGCAACAAAACAAUAUUGUGCAUUCGAAAUCUAGAUUGUUGAAAAGCUAGAUAGACAGUGUGCAUAUAUAUAUAUAUAUAUAUAUAUACACUCAUAUUUAU